AUGCGUUCAGCUCGCCACCUCCACCUCCCGGUCUGGGCCCUCCUUCUCCUCCUGCACUUCUUAGCCUUCGUCCCGGCAGCCAGAGCACAGCAAGAAAUCGACGAUGAAUCGGAGUUCAGCUACGUCCGCGGAGCCAAGAACGGGCCGGAGAACUGGGGCAAGAUCAAGGAGGAGUGGGCGACGUGCGGCACGGGGAGGAUGCAGUCGCCCAUCCACCUCUCCGACCGCCGUGCCUCGCGCGCGCCCCACCUCGGCUACCUCAUCACCGCCUACGCCCCCGCCAAGGCCUCCAUCGUCAACCGCGGCCACGACAUCGCGGUGAUGUUCCACGGCGACGCCGGGAGCUUGUGGAUCAACGACACCCUUUACCACCUCAGUCAGGUGCACUGGCACUCCCCCAGCGAGCACCGCCUAAACGGCCGCCGGUACAGCCUGGAGCUCCACAUGGUUCACCUCAGCGCCGAGAACAAGGCUGCCGUGAUCGGCCUCCUCUACGAUAUCGGCAGCCCGGACGAUUUCCUGCACAAGCUCGAGCCUUACCUGCGGAGAAUGGCAGACAUGAAGGAGAAGGAGGAGAAGGUCGGCGUGGUAGAUUCCUGGGUGGCGCGGGGAGAUGGCGAAGCCUACUACCGGUACAUGGGUUCCCUCACCACGCCGGCGUGCGACGAGGGGGUCAUCUGGACCGUCAUCAAGAGGGUUGCUACCGUCUCGAGUGACCAACUAAAGCUUCUUACCGACGCUGUGCAUGACGGCUUUGAGAUGAACGCGAGACCCCUUCAGAAGGUGAAUGGCAGAGAUAUCGGCUUGUUCUGCCCUGAUGAUGACCAUGAACGCUAUUACGCUGCUGCUGAUCAUUAA
rnacentral:rRNA from 1 species